ACCCUCAUCCUUAGUUGCCAUCACGUUUGGGUGGGCACUCUAAGGAAACUGCCGGUGGUAAGCCGGAGGAAGGUGGGGAUGACGUCAAGUCCUCAUGGCCCUUACGGGUAGGGCUACACACGUGCUACAAUGGCAGUGACAAUGGGUUAAUCCCCAAAAACUGUCUCAGUUCGGAUUGUCGUCUGCAACUCGACGGCAUGAAGGUGGAAUCGCUAGUAAUCGUGGAUCAGCAUGCCACGGUGAAUACGUUCCCGGGCCUUGUACACACCGCCCGUCACAUCAUGGGAAUUGGUUCUACCCGAAGACG
rnacentral:rRNA from 1 species